UUGAAUUCGUGUCUGUUUUAGAUCAUCCUGGACCGCCCAUCAUCGCAAUUUUGGUGUUUCAGACGCUUUUCUCUAAUGCAGAUUGGGGUUUGUUGAGCCAAAGCAGCGAGGCAGUCAGACCACCGGUCACCCGCCGUAGACCUCAAAAAUAAAUCUCGCAAUGUACGCUCAUUUGCAACAGUAAUUCAAUGUGAUUUAUGGUUGACUUUGUAAAAUAUGAGAGAGAAAAGAAGUUUGGUUUACAUAUUCAAUCCUCAUGUAUCGCAUGUUUAUAAAAAAAAAAAAUACUUGAAACUAUUGGGUUUAUAUGAAAGACAAACGAUUCAAGUUUAACAUUGGACUGGUUCUCAUGUCCCACGAAGCGAAAAUUACAUAUCGAAAGGAUUGAGAGAGGUCCGUUACUUCCUCUUCAAAUUAUUUUACUUUACGUCAGAAUUAUUUUCCAAUUUUAACUUUCUUGAUCAAGAUUUCUCAUACGAGGAAAUCAAAUAGGCAAAAGCGAUGAAUGGCGGAAUCAAGAACUCAACUGGAAAACCCUGGAAAACGUUUUAUAUUGGAAUUAUUUGCGAACAGCACCUAGCGAGUGGUCCAUCAGGUCUUGAUUUUUAGCCCUCGCACCUAAGGUUCAAGUGGGUAAAAGCCGGCUAAUGAGAUAACCGGUUUAACAAUCGGGACGGGUUGGUGGACUUUUAUUUCCACCUGGUUUUCCUUCCUCAGGCGGAUAUUUAACUUCAAGGAAAUUAUUAAAACCCAAUAAUUUACGACCAGAAAAAGAAAGGAAGCAAAUACGGGAGAGAUAACUACAUAUACUCCGUUGUGAUUUAUACUCUACGCUUUUAUUUUUUCUCUCCGGAUUGGACGUUACAUCCACGGAGAUUCAGGUCAUCAAGGUUAGGUGUGUAACUGAUGCUCUCUAGUGAUUAAAUUG